CUCGCGAGAGCAAGCGGACCUCAUAAAGUAUGUCGUAGUCCGGAUUGGAGUCUGCAACUCGACUCCAUGAAGUCGGAAUCGCUAGUAAUCGUAGAUCAGAAUGCUACGGUGAAUACGUUCCCGGGCCUUGUACACACCGCCCGUCACACCAUGGGAGUGGGUUGCAAAAGAAGUAGGUAGCUUAACCUUCGGGAGGGCGCUUACCACUUUGUGAUUCAUGACUGGGGUGAAGUCGUAACAAGGUAACAGUAGGGGAACCUGCGGUUGGAUCACCUCCUUA
rnacentral:rRNA from 1 species